GCUUGCAAGUUUGAGGCCAUAGCAGAAGCACUCAUGGUGCAGCCCUGUCAGAUUCUAGUGAAUCUGUGAAUUCAGCU
rnacentral:ribozyme from 1 species